rnacentral:rRNA from 1 species
AAUGAACGUUGGCGGCGUGGAUUAGGCAUGCAAGUCGAGCGCGAAUCUCCGCAAGGAGAGGAAAGCGGCGAAAGGGAGAGUAACACGUGGAUAUCUGCCCUCCGGACUGGGAUAGCUGCGGGAAACUGCAGGUAAUACCAGAUAACGUCUUUGGACCAAAGGUGUGAUUCCGCCGGUGGAUGAGUCCGCGUCCUAUUAGCUAGUUGGUAGGGUAACGGCCUACCAAGGCCAUGAUGGGUAGCGGGUGUGAGAGCAUGGCCCGCCUCACUGGGACUGAGACACUGCCCAGACACCUACGGGUGGCUGCAGUCGAGGAUCUUCGGCAAUGGACGCAAGUCUGACCGAGCGACGCCGCGUGCGGGAUGAAGGCCUCGGUUGUAACGCUGUCAGAGGGAGGAAGUAGGUAGAGGGUUCGUCCCUCUACUCUUGUACCUAUCCUCAGAGGAAGUACGGGCGUAAGUUCGUGCCAGCAGCCGCGGU